rnacentral:rRNA from 1 species
AUUGAACGCUGGCGGAAUGCUUUACACAUGCAAGUCGAGCGGCAGCGCGGCCUUCGGGCUGGCGGCGAGCGGCGAACGGGUGAGUAAUGCAUCGGAACAUGCCCAGUCGUGGGGGAUAACACUUCGAAAGAAGUACUAAUACCGCAUACGUCCUGAGGGGGAAAGCGGGGGAUCGCAAGACCUCGCGCGAUUGGAGUGGCCGAUGUCAGAUUAGCUAGUUGGUGGGGUAAAGGCCUACCAAGGCGACGAUCUGUAGCUGGUCUGAGAGGAUGAUCAGCCACACUGGGACUGAGACACGGCCCAGACUCCUACGGGAGGCAGCAGUGGGGAAUUUUGGACAAUGGGGGCAACCCUGAUCCAGCCAUUCCGCGUGAGUGAAGAAGGCCUUCGGGUUGUAAAGCUCUUUCGGCAGGAACGAAACGGUGGGCUCUAACAUAGUCCGCUAAUGACGGUACCUGAAGAAGAAGCACCGGCUAACUACGUG